rnacentral:tRNA from 1 species
GGAGGUGUAGCUCAGUAGGAGAGCACUUGCCUACCAUUACAAGAGGCCCUGGGUUUGAUCCCCAGCACCCG